ACCUGGGUGGCUCAGUGGUUGAGCAUCUGCCUUUGGCUCAGGUCAUGAUUCCAGGGUCCUGGGAUCAAGUCCGGCCUCAGGUU
rnacentral:tRNA from 1 species